UACUCGCUUCUUUGAAAUGUGCCGGCAAGGGGCAGGACCCGCAGCCACAGGAUUACAUCUGUAGUGAAAAUGAAGGCACCACCACAACACACCCUGAGACAACGAGGGUUAGACCGGACAGAGAGGCAGAGAGGCCCGCUACACAGGCAGCGGCUCCUGCAGCAAUGCUACACCAGCGAGACAUCGAUAUAUCCUCUCGGUGGACUGGAACUUUAACAAUGCCACCUCUACCCGUCAACAGACACUUCAGCUGGGUUUGAAAUAAUCCUUGAGCGCUACCGUUGACUGAAAAUGGCCCCAUUCACCAAUAACAGCUAAUACUGUGACACUGGCAUCUAUCAGCCUGGCUCUGCUGGCCAGGAGAGAGUGUAAACAAACAGAGAAAGAGAGGAGCUCUAAUGGCUAAGCUAAGGCUAACUCCUCAUCGGCUAUCUCUACCCAGCAUUUUCCUCACCAAUGUAUGGUCUCUGGUGAACAACAUGGAUGAACUGUGACUGCGGAUCACCAAUAACAAAAAGAUUAUGGACUGCAACAUCAUGAUUUUUAUGGAAACUUGGCUUAACAGCAACGUCCCUGAAAGCGCCAUUGAGCUACCAGGCUGAUACAUCCUCAGGGUGGAUACAACAGCUGAUGACUCUGAUCCCGACCAAUCAUCCAGAGCUUGCUCCAUUGGCUGAUGAGUAAACUCACCCUAUGACUGCUCCAGGAUGACCUAGAAACAGGAAGAGGGAAAAUAGCAGCUGGUAAGUAGAGAGGAGAGUCCAUCAUUUAGAAAGUGACACAUUUAGGUUGUUUUGGCUCCGGCAUAUUUGAUUUGAAAUGAAACAAUGACUAAAAUGAAAGUGCUGACUUUGUUAUAAGUAGUUUUAGUGUGUUCAUAUCCAUACUGGGUGAACAGUGAAUCAACUGUAGCCCUCUUUUAUAGGUAGUCUGUCAAUUUAAGGACAAUGCAGGAGGAGGACAAUCCUAAAUAUAAAACAAAUGCAGCCGGGGAGUUUUUAUGACCCAGCAGUGGGAUGUUCUCAACUGGGAUUGUCAUUCACCUAACCUCAAUCCAGCUGAGCAGGUGUGUCACUCACCGAAAAUCAGACCAAAGGCAAAAGUCCAGUUUGCAGUUCAGGUCUGGCAUAGAAUUACCAGGGGAGAUAUAAGUGUCCUCUGGGAUCACAGACUGCAGUCAAUGACACCAAAUAUUAUAUAUCAUAACUAAAGUUUGUUUUA